rnacentral:rRNA from 1 species
UUGGAGGGCAAGUCUGGUGCCAGCAGCCGCGGUAAUUCCAGCUCCAAUAGCGUAUAUUAAAGUUGUUGCAGUUAAAAAGCUCGUAGUUGAAUUUCGGGAUCAAUGUUUCGGUCAUGCCGUUGGUAUGUACUGAUAUUAUUGAUUUCUCACCUUCUAAAGAACCGUAAUGCCAUUAAUUUGGUGUCACGGGGAAUUAGGACUGUUACCUUGAAAAAAUUAGAGUGUUUAAAGCAGGCUCACGCUUGAAUACAUUAGCAUGGAAUAAUGAAAUAGGACAUCCGAUUCUAUUUUGUUGGUUUCUGGGAUCGAUGUAAUGAUUAAUAGGGAUAGUUGGGGGCAUUAGUAUUCAAUUGUCAGAGGUGAAAUUCUUGGAUUUAUUGAAGACUAACUACUGCGAAAGCAUUUGCCAAGGAUGUUUUCAUUAAUCAAGAACGAAAGUUAGGGGAUCGAAGACGAUCAGAUACCGUCGUAGUCUUAACCAUAAACUAUGCCGACUAGGGAUCGGAUGAUGUUNAUUUUUUAAUGACUCAUUCGGCGCCUUACGGGAAAC